CUCGGCCCAGCCCAUACAAACUACACCAGUCAGUCUAAACUCUAGUUUUCCGAUAAGUUACCGGUGAUUAACAUCCCUGAACCACCAUAAUCUCAAAUUUAGGGUUUCAUACUCCGUAUCACCAUCAUCACCAAUGACAUCACGCUCUCAAAUCGACGACGAUGAUGAUUUCGGUGGUGAUUUGCCCGGAGUCAACGCUGCUAGGGUUUCAGGUAAUAAGAGGGGAUUUGGAGAUAUUGAUGACGAUGAUGAUGAUAUGUUUGGCGCCAAAAAGGCUAAUUUAAAAGUAGAAGAAACUGCCCCAGGUGUGGCAACCGGGAUGAUUUUAUCCCUUCGUGAAAGCCUCCAAAGCUGUAAGGAUGCUCUUGCAACAUGCCAGUCGGAGCUCGAAGAAGCAAAAUCAGAAGUUCAAAAGUGGCAUUCUGCUUUUCAGAAGGAGUCCUUCAUUCCUUCGGGCUCAUCAGUUGAAUCUAGAGUCGUAGUCAAUUAUCUCCAAAACCUAAAAUCUUCUGAGGAAUCAAUUCGAGAGCAGCUAGAAAAAGCAAAGAAAAAGGAAGCCGCAUUUAUAGUAACUAUUGCAAAGCGAGAGCAGGAAAUUGCAGAUUUGAAGGCCGCAGUUCGGGAUUUAAGAUCACAACUCAAGCCUCUAUCAAUGCAGGCAAGAAGAUUAUUACUUGAUCCCGCAAUUCAUGAGGAGUUUAUGCGUUUGAAGAAUUUGGUAGAGGAAAAGGAUAAGAAAGUGAAGGAGCUGCAGGACAACGUUGCGGCUGUCAACUUCACGCCACAAAGCAAAAUGGGAAAAAUGCUAAUGGCGAAAUGCAGGACCCUGCAAGAAGAAAACGAGGAGAUAGGAAAUCAAGCCAAAGAAGGAAAGGUCAGUGAGAUGACACAGUUUUCUGCAAUGUUUUCAGGGCCGGACGCCAAACCGGUCUCCUCACUAGUCCACUGGUCGGACCGGUCGAAUCGGAUAUACACGAGUUGUCAAUGAAGCUUGCUUUGCAGAAGUCUCAGAAUUUAGAACUCAGGAGCCAUGUUGAAGGUUUAUGCAAGCAUAUGGAGGGACUGACGGAUGAUGUUGAAAAAUCAAAUGAGAUGGUGCUAAUCUUAGAAGAGAAGCUUAACGACAGAGAAGCCGAGAUCAAAAGAUUAAGGCAUCAGCUGCAACAAUAUGAUGUGGCGGAGGAAAAAACAGACACACUUGCUACUGAUGAAAAAGAUACCAAUGCGGAUGUUGCUGUGCCUAUGGAACAGGAACCUGAACCCGAACCCAAACUCGAAAAUGAGGAAUUAUAGGAACCCCGAGUGUCGGUUUUUCAUGUAUGUGACUAUGUGUAUGUUGUACAUCAAGUCUUCAUGGCACAUAAACUGUGAGCAUUCAUGUUUGAUGAAUGAUUUUGGGGUACUAAACUAAUCGAGUUUCGUAUUUAUGGGUCCCACAUGAUCAAUAUUCAUGCAUAUUUCAUAUGCUUUCUGCCAUGGUUGGUAAACUGGUA